GCGGCCUUAGCUCAGCUGGGAGAGCGUCAGACUGAAGUUUCCAAACUUUCGGUCCAUUCGAUAUCUGAAGGUCGUGUGUUCGAUCCACACAGGCCGCA